GGCCCAGGCGGGGGCGGAAGAGGCGGGGCCAGCCUCGGGGCCCGAGAGCCCCGCGGCCGGAAUGGGACGGCGCUGCGCUAACCCGCCUGGUUUCAAUUUUGAGUGGGCGCGAUAGAAGACAACUUCGGCCUCCACGCCAGAUCGCUACGAAUCUUCUUCUCCGGGACAUUUCACUCACUUUAGGAGGCGCGGUGGGGAAAUUACGAUCAGAGAAAUGGCUGUGGAGUUACGGAAAACCAAGUCGGAACCAGAAGCCCAGGGACCUUGUCUCUGACCUCUGAGAGCUUGUCAGAAGCCACACCCAUCUGUGGGGACGCAGAUCUAGCCAAGAAUGUGGGAGACCCUUUACCCCAGAAGCGUUCAAAUCUUCAUUUACACACUUCCGAUGGGGUGGGGGCAGAGGAGAGAAGGUGUGGCUUGGCCUGUUAAGCCAGGGAUGCCAGCAGAGCAGGUCUCAAAAGGGGUCCUUGGAAAUCUGCAUCUGAAUCCGUGGGGAGCCCAUUAAAUACGGAAACCCUGGCCUCCCAGACCUACCAGUUCAGCCAGAGUGCACAGCAUGGUACUGGCCCAGGGGCCUUGAUGCCCAAGAAAGUGUGGGAAUCACCACAACUGGUUUGGGCUGUUCCCAAGGAAAAGUCUGCAUUUCAUCAAACCGCAGCACUUAACCCAAAGGGGUGGAUGAUUUAUUUCAGGAGUUGAUGCAUCUGGCAAUGCAUUUGGGGCACAGCAACUCUUCUUGAGACAUGGAGAUUCUGCCCCCAUCAUGCCAUGCGCGAGAGGACCCCUUUCACACAGAGGCAGCCAAGCUGCUCACUGGCUGGUAGAAGGUGUCCCCUGGCUCGAGAUGUAAUCAUUGUGAUGCUUUGGCCACUAGGGAAGUGAGGGUCCUUCAUCGCCUCUGUCUGGAGGCUAUUCAAGUAGCUUUUUCACUGGUGACAGGAAGUGGCAGUCUUAGGGAGGCAAUUCGUCGUCAAGGGUCCCCAGGGCAUAGUGUGAGCAUCAUGGGGCUUGUGCCAGGCCCCCUUCCGUGGGCCCCCAGCCCUCUGCCCUAAGAGGACGCAGUGCAAGCCACCCAAAGGUCUCCUGACACACAGCUCAAGAGCUCCAGAGAAACCUUGGAGGACAUACAACCCAACACUUAACAUUUCCCCACCUGGCAGACUGAGGUCCCAACAGCCCUUGCUAGACACUGGGGAACCCACCUUGUCAAAACCCAAAGGUAAAAAUGCCUGGGUGUGGGGCUUUGUAUUCAGAGUCAGCCCUACGCAGAGGAAGGCAGGCAGGAGACAGAUGAGGGAUUCAAAGUGACCUGACCCCUAACCCCAAAGAGGCCCCUUCUCAUUCCUGAAAUGAAGAGGCUGGACAGAUGUCCCCUAAACCUCUGGUGGCCUUGGGUUCCACAGGAGGGUAGGAGGGGGGGCUGCAGGGGAGCGCUGUGGAAACUCAUCUGUCACUCCCAUCCACACGGCUCUGCGGCAUCUGGCUUUUCAUAUCUUAAUCACAUCAGCAUGAUGGAUGGUCGAGGGGCCCAGAUGACAUUAUGGGGUUAAUUUAUUACAUGUUUGGAAACCCAUUUGCUGGGAGACCGUUUCUGUUUUUCAAAGUUAUUUGCGUAUUUUUCACCACAACGACACAUGCUGCAGGAGGGUGUCUGAGAGGGAAGGAGGGGUGUUCAGGAGGAGGAGGAGCUUAUUUGCCAACUGCAGCAGGUCCCCAAGGGUCUGAGAAUGGGAACAGAGACAAACUCGUUCCCGAGGGACGUUUAUAUUGAAACUGCAGAGGAGGCAAGAUGCAACAACAUCCUGCAGAGAAAGGCCUUGCAAAGGCGAAGGCCUGCGUGGGCCAACGAGGGCUCCUGGGGCCCACCGAGCAAGCACACUACGAGUGAACUGGGGAAGACAAAGGACAACAGCGUUCAGACCUUAAGAUGCUUUCAAAGCCCCGCCCCCACACCCACCAGGCUGAUCACAGGCUGAAUCGUGGAUCCUGCCCCUGCUGGAGGCUCCUGGGACAUCACACACAGGGAGUGGGAGAGUCACAGAGUCAGCCACAGACACCCCCGUGCUCAGGAACCCAUCCACUUGGAACGACCCCUAAGCAGAGACCCAGCCUCAUUCAUUCUUUUAGUUCAGCACCUCACCCAGGGCCCGGCCAAAUCCAGGCUCUCGAUGAGUGUGUGUUAAAUGAGUGAAGUCAAGAACAGAGGAAUGGAACAAUGGCAGACAGUGGUUCACUGCCACUUGCCCGACUCAAACCCUAACAGUCUGGAUGAGGAGCAAAGACCCCCGAUUGCAGUGAUUCGGCAUGGUGUGCAGAAAAGAGCUGCUUUAGAAAAGGCACGAGGGGCAUGUGUGCUCACUCUGGCACCCCCACACCCACCAGGCUGCUCGUGCAUCCAACCUGCCGUUUCUCACCCGCCGCUGCCUCUGCACCAGCCAUUUGCCCCUUCGCUCUCCGAACCUCAGUUUUCUCAUCUGUAAACUGGGAUAGUAGUGGUACAAAUUCCAUCAAGUUGAGUAGAAGUGAAUGAAAUAACGCUUGUAAAAAUUGGAGGUAUACCAUGCCUAGCACAUAAAUGCUCAAUGAAUGGCUGUCACGACAAGGAUAUUAAAAUGAGCACACACCGUUUAAGCCCCUAGAGCAAACGCUCUGGACCAGGCAGCAUGCUUUUCAAAACCCCACCCUAAACAACCUUAGCUGUGCGCCCUCCCACCCCGUUUUCAUUCCCCCGGGCAGCAGGCAGCCCCCAAGGCACCCUAACGGAGGACACACACCUUCAGGGCCCGAGAUGCCCAACAAGGGGCAGCAGCAGACAGACAGUUCCGCUCCUCCCUCAUCCCGCCUUCUGACGUGAGGCCUGGCCUGCACAGCUGUCCCAGACCCUGGGCUCCACUGCUGACCUCCGACCCCGGCCAAAGGCCCGUGACACU